rnacentral:rRNA from 1 species
GAUGAACGCUGGCGGCGUGCUUAACACAUGCAAGUCGAACGGUGAAGGCGGAGCUUGCUCUGCUGGAUCAGUGGCGAACGGGUGAGUAACACGUGAGCAAUCUGCCCCUGACUCUGGGAUAAGCGCUGGAAACGGCGUCUAAUACUGGAUACGAGCUUCCACCGCAUGGUGAGUUGUUGGAAAGAUUUUUCGGUCAGGGAUGAGCUCGCGGCCUAUCAGCUUGUUGGUGAGGUAAUGGCUCACCAAGGCGUCGACGGGUAGCCGGCCUGAGAGGGUGACCGGCCACACUGGGACUGAGACACGGCCCAGACUCCUACGGGAGGCAGCAGUGGGGAAUAUUGCACAAUGGGCGCAAGCCUGAUGCAGCAACGCCGCGUGAGGGACGACGGCCUCGGUUGUAACGUACUUUAGUCAGGAAGAAGACGAAAGUAGACGGUACCGUGCAGAAAAGACGCCGGACGUAACUAACGUGCACGCAGCGCGGUAAA